AGCAUUUCGUGGUUGUACAGUUACAAAUGUCACCUCUGAAGAUCGUAGGCAAAACUUCCCCUCUUCAUGAAUGUAUAAAAGCCGGCUCCACCGAGCAAAAGAAAGUGAGUUACCAAGUUAUUAUUACGUACUGAAUCUCAUCAACUGGCAAUAAGGUAUUGGACUGGAACUACUGACCUCAGAAUUACUGAUAGCUAGGAAGAAAAAACUCACAGCUCUGGUGAGUGGUGACAACCAUUAUGAUUCGUUUAGCUGCAACACUUCUCGGCAUUUGCAUAACUAUUGUUUGUAGUUCGCAGCACUAUCAUAUUGUGCCUGAUACUACUGCAUCUAUUGACUUGUGUUCUGAAUUUCCGAUUGGCACUUGCUCCACUCUUGACCAGUUUGCUCAAGCAGAUAUAUUCUCUGAUGAUAGGGCCAAUCUCACGUUGACAUUUCUAGAAGGGGAUCAUGUGCUCACACAAUUGCUUACUAUUCAUGAUUUUUUGUGUGUUCAGAUAAUUGGCUGCAAUUAUUCUGUAUUGACAUUCAAUGAGACAAGAAGUCGAAUCGAAUUUUCAAACAUCACAAAGUUGAGCGUUGAUCACAUAUUCUUCAUUCAGUAUGCACCGUUCUUUGACUACUUUAAACGAGGCUUGAGCAUUAGCACAACACAAAAUGUUUUCAUAUAUGAUAGCUAUAUUGUGGGCUUUGAAGGCACUAAACAAGAUAUUGGUGUGCUAACCGUUAGUGGUGCCCAAAACACACAGAUUGAAAAUGUUAUCUUUCUGAAUAAUUCUGGCAGAGCACUUUUUGUCGAAUCGGAGAAUGUAAAAAUUAAGGAAGGAAAAUUUGAGCAAAAUUCUGGUGCAAUUUUCAUUAGUGCUACUCGUGCCAGUAUCAGUAACACUGAAUUUAUUGAAAACCUUAAUGGGGCCAUUCUGAUCAACAAAGGCAUUGUUAACAUAGCCAAUUGUGAGCUAGCAAAUAACCAGGGAUUGUAUGAUAUAGAUCUAUAUGAUGGCUACAUUGGGGGAGCUAUUGUUGCUGCUGGAGGCAAUUUGACGAUCUCUAACAGUACUUUUUAUGGCAACAGUGCUGACUUGGGUGGAGCAAUUUUAGUUAUUCAAGGUAGCCUGUCUCUUUCUAACAGUGCGCUAACCAACAACAGAGCUCUAGAAGGUGGAGCUUUGUUUAUACAUUCAAGUGAUUUCUUAAUGACCAAUUGUACUGUAACAAAUAACAGAAACCAUGGGAUACGUGGCGGAGGGGCAAUUUUUGGUACGAGGUCCGGCAAUAAUUUAUCAAUUUCCAGAAGUGAUUUUGUUGAUAACAAUUCUAUAAAUGGUUAUGGUGGAGUAAUUUUAGUUGAAACUGGUGCUCUUUCGAUCUCCAACAGCCGGUUCAUGAGCAACACUGCUUAUCAAGGUGGUGGAAGUAUUAUGGUUGAAUAUGGCAAUGUGUCUAUUUCAGACAGUGAUUUCAAAAACAAUGUUGCAGCAUACGGUGGAGGCUUUAGUGUUUGGUAUGGCAAUGUAUAUAUCCUAAAUUGUACAUUUAACAAUAAUAGUGUCUCAUAUAAGUAUGGUGGAGGUUUUUAUAUUCGAUCAGUUUAUUUGAUAGUUUCUAACUCCAUCUUUACAAGAAACAAAGCGAAGGUUGGAGGUGGAGCAAUAUACAUUCAAGAGCACACACUUUUCAUAACAAACACAGUGUUUACGAACAAUUCCGCUCGUAGUGGUGGAGUUUUAAGCAUUUCUAAUGGAACAGCCCAACUCUCUAACAUUACUGCUUUGUACAACGUUGGAUAUGCUCAAGGAGUGUUCUAUAUUCAUGACACAACUACAGUUAUAUCCAAUUCUACAUUCAUUGGAAAUUCAGCAAUGCAAUAUGAACUUGCGCUAUUUGGGGUCAUCAGUAUUUUAGAAUGCACUAUGAAUUUUUCAGGAAUGAACACAAUGAUCGACAACAUGGGUCCUAGCAUUAAUGCGUACUCUGCAUCAGUAUAUUUUACAGGCCCAACGAAUUUCAGCAGCAACCAUGGUAUCGAUAUUAAUGGUGGAGGACUUUCUGCUACUCUGAGUCAGAUUUACUUUAGCAGAACAGGAGCAAUAACGUUUUUUAACAAUUCAGCUGAUAAUGGAGGAGCAAUAUUUCUAGGCGAGAGUUUGCUUUAUGUAUGCUCUCAGCAUCUCUUCGUUUCACAUAACACAGCACAACAUGGUGCUGGGAUAUAUGGGUACCAAAGCACAAUAAAGUUCAAAUGCGAUGACAAGAAACAGAAUAGUGAGGUUGUCAUUACAAACAACUAUGCCACUCAUAGUGGUGGUGGUAUUUGGGCUUUAGGAACAACCAUUCAACUGUUACAAUCAAAUGUCUACCUAGACCAUAACUCUGCUGCAUUCAAUGGUGGUGGUAUGUUCUUACAACAAAACUCCAAGAUUUAUCUUCUGAAGCAUGGUGUGGACUGUACAUACGAUUGGUGUCAAGUCAAGCUAGAAAUAAUAAAUAAUUCUGCUUUGUUGGGAGGAGGAAUAUUUGUAGCCGAUAAUUCAACUGGUAGAGGAGCAUGUAGGGGAGGUUCAUCAGAUAAAAUUGUUCGAACAAAUUAUCUCGACAAUAUCCUUUCUGACUGUUUCAUUCAAACUAUUAAUUUUCAUGGAUCACAUGAGUCCCUUGAUUAUGUCAAAACUCUUCUUUCUGGCAACACUGCAAAACGUUCAGGAAACGACAUCUAUGGAGGUCUAUUGGACAGAUGUACUGUGAGCCCUUUAGCUGAAUUGUAUGGGUUAUGGAAUGCAGAAGACUAUAUCAGAAAAACUGUAAAUAUUACGAGCAAUUCAACAAUAUCUUCAGAUCCCGUACAAGUUGUUUUUUGUACUCCCACAGAAAUAUUUACACGAAAAGGUGAAUUAUUUAGAAUAAGUGUCAGAGCAAUUGAUCAAGUUGGAAAUUCUUUGAACGCAACCAUACAUAACUCAGUAGUCACCGACAGUGGAAUUGGUCGCCUCAAAGAAGGGCAAACAGAACAAACAGUUGGGGAUAUGUGUACUGAAUUGGAAUUCAAUGUGUUUUCAGAAGACAAUUCUGCUCUAAUAGAACUCUACGCUUAUGGGCCAUGUGUCAACAUAGGACUUUCAAAGAAUACUUUUAAUGUUACUUUUCUUCCCUGCACUUGCCCAUUAGGAUUCCAGCCAUCAAUGUCUCGAAUCGAGUGUGUAUGUGAGUGUGAUGUGAAAUUGCAAUCUUACAUAGCGAACUGUUCUAAUGGCUUCCUCAGAAUGGAAACUGGCAUAUGGAUUGGGGUUACCAACGAUACUGAUGGUGAAAUAGGAUACAUUGUUGAUAAUUGCCCUUUUGAUUACUGUGUUAAGGAACCAAUUGACGUCAGUUUGAAAACCUCUCACGAGAUAGACAGACAGUGUGCAUACAAUCGAAGUGGUGUCUUGUGCGGUGAAUGUGAGCAAGGACUCAGUCUUAUUCUGGCUACCUCAAAAUGCAAGGAGUGUUCAAACACCUACCUUCUUCUUCUGAUUCCAUUUGCCCUUGCUGGUAUAGUAUUGGUUACAUUUAUUCUCGUAUUCAACAUCACCAUAGCGACAGGAAAUGUUCAUGGCUUGAUUUUCUAUGCUAAUGUACUCGCUGCUAAUAAAGCUGUAUUCCUUCCCUUUGAUAAUGUUCUAACUGUAAUCAUAUCAUGGGUGAAUCUUGAUUUGGGAAUAGAAACCUGCUUUUAUGAUGGGGGGAUGAGUUCUCAAGCAAAAGUACUCCUUCAACUUGUCUUCCCAGCCUAUUUGUUUUUUCUGAUGCUUGGAAUUAUUGUUCUUUGCAAAUACUUUGACUCAAUUUCCAAACUUCUUUCCAAUGCCAACCCUGUUGCUGCACUAUGCACACUUUUCAUGCUUUCUUACUCCAAGCUGCUGCGGUUCACAAUUUCUGCAUUGCAGUUUAACUUUCUCAGGUAUCCUGAUGGUUCAGAUGAAUUGGUUUGGUUGUAUGAUGCCAAUGUACGGUACUUUAACCCUGAACACACAACUCGAUUUAUUGCUUCUGUUGUAAUCCUCACUGCUGGUGGAUUGUUUACUGUUUUGAUUUUCUUUGGCCAGUGGUUUCCUCACUGCUCAAAAUUAAAGAUCACGAAAUGGACAAAAAACACAAAAUAUAUUGGUUUCAUGGACGCAUACCAUGCUCCAUUCACUCCAAAGCAUCGUUACUGGUUGGGAUUGCUUCUCUUUUCUCUCAUUGCUUACAACAUCAUAGCUGCCUUUGCAACGGAUACCUACUUACCUAUUAUCUCUGUUGGGUGUAUAGCAAUUGGCAUAUGCUUUUUCAAGCUAAUUGUUAAGAAAGUGCACAAGACUUCGCUUGGAGAUCUAAUAGAAACACUCAAUCUUACGAUUUUAGCAUACGGAACCUCUUAUGUGCGAGAAAUAAAAGGGAAUCAGUACAUACUAGCCAACUUUUCCAUGUCUAUUGCUUUCAUUCUCUUCCUAGCAAUCGUGUGCUUCCAUACACACAAGUACGUUCUUAAGAAGACAAAUGUAUGGCUAAAAGUGAUCAACUGCUUUAAAAGCAAGCGCAUGAUGAUGGAUUUGAAUCUUCGGCGAAGAGCUGCUAACGAACAAGAAAUACAACAUGUGUUAGUUGGUGAUGAAGAUAAUGAUGUUGAUAUAAUAGACUUCAUCAAUGAGCAAAGAGAGCCUGUUGACACAACUUACAACGACAGACCUGAAAACGAAGAACCUGGAAAGUAUAUUACUCCUCCUAUAAUCACACCUGCCUCAAGACUCGACCAGUUGCGAGAACCAGCUCUUGACGUCCUUGCUCCUGUUACUACUGAAGAUUAUCAACCAGCCCCACCCCGUCCUCAAGCUCGUAACUGUUCAGCUGUUGUUACUUGUACAGUUAUUGAGGUCACACACUAACUUUAAAUACAUGCACCAUUAAUAGACGAUUAGCAAAAGCGAUUGUCCUUGCAUAGACGUAACUUAGCCUCGAUCCCAGGCCGAGUUUUCGCUUUUAUAACGGUUAGGCAAACAACUGGGCCUGGUACUAGUUGUCUGCGCAUGCGUCAGUCGUUCGUCAGAUUCUGACAAAUGGAUAUUCUUGACUUUCCUGACAUUUAUAUUCGUGUACUAUCGUGUACUAGAAGUCAGUUCCUGUUUUAUCAUUAUUGGAAUCGGCUCUUAGCUGAAGCUUCUCUCUUCUCUGAAGCUUAUUCUGAAGACUGAACAACAAGGGAAGAGGUAUAAAGCUUUGUCAAGCUUGUUAAGGUCAGAUAUUUUUGUGUGGGCCCUAUGGCUAUGCUAUCAAGUCUUGUUCAUGUUUGGCAAGAUCUACCGGUAGGUAGACUAUAGUUUCAUCAUUAAUAUGGUGGAUCAAGUGAAGAGUGUGAGCUAGAGAACUUGGUGCUGCCAUCAUCAGCUCGUCGACAAUGACACUAUAACACGAGAAAUUUAAUAUGUAUAGAUCUACACGUAUUUAGAAUGUCUACUUCUCUGUACAGGAGCAAUGGCUAAUAUCCAGCUAUCCCAACAGUGCUCCUCUUGGCUAUACUAACGGACGAGACUGGACAGUUUGAGGACUGGAGUAUGACCUGCUCAUUCGAGCGUUGCUGGGUAGCUCAGAGACAUCAAGAGAAUCUACGUUUUCUCAAGCAAAAUUUAACUGAGUUACGAGUUGGGGCCUAGAAUCAGAGAAGUCCAGCAGCCUGCUAAAUCUUUUUGAAACGUAAUUUGAAGGCAUUCAAUCAUCCUGAAGUUUCCCUGGGUCACUGUAAUCGUGCUGCAGCACAACUGGCAACUCCCCAGGCCUUUGUGAAGCAGCUCCCUAUGUGCAUCUUUUGUGUACUCACUCUGUGCAUUUUCUGUGUACAAAUUUCGAUUAUUGAUUUAUUAAAUAUUUUUGCCGACCACAAAUAUACAAUGAAAAUUUGACGCAUGCACAGACAACUAGUACCAGGCCCAGUUG